GUCCUCGCUUAGGCAGCACAUAUACUAAAAUUGGAACAAUACAGAGAUUAGCGUGGCCCCUGCACAAGGAUGACAUGCAAAUUCGUGAAGGGGUCCAUAUUUUU